GGCUGAUCUACUGCAUGUUGUCUCAAAUUUUGCCGUUGAUGUUAUUAUCGUAAUCAAAAAAGCGCGUCAAUAUGGAACAUACAAUUGCCUAUUGUAAAACGUUUAUGUGAUUGGAUUUACACAUGACGUCAUUCAUUGUUUACAAACGUUAUUUUUGCACUCGCACUGACAUUUCAACAGUUCAACAGUUCAAACUUCUUUUGAAUGGGAUUGAAGGUAGAUCAAGAAUGAUUAACAGCAAUGGAGACAGAAGCAGACAUGGAAAUGUUCGAUGUGAAAAUUGAAGACCUAUAAACAAAAUGAUGUAUCUAGACAAUAUGGCACUCAUCAGAAA